rnacentral:snRNA from 1 species
AUUGCUUCUCGGCCUUUUGGCUAAGAUCAAGUGUAGAUUAGAUAUGCAUUUAAGAUUCAUCCACUUUUUUUGUGUGUGUGGCUUGACAGCCUACCACAAUAUGCCUAUCAUAAUAUUUCUCAUAUUAAUCCUU